UGCAAUAUCACAAACUUAAAUGGCCAAAAUCUCAACACUAGCCACUAUCCCAUAUAAUCCGAAAAAUUAUCAAUUUGACCCCAGAUAAAGUUUUACUUUACCAAAAAACCCACCUCACGCGAUUUUUUUUUUAACUCCGAUCUCUCAAAAGCGGCGGCAAUGGGUUUGCCGGAAUCCAUACGGCGGAGGACGGCGGCGUGAGAUCUUCUCCCGCCGACCAGCUGCCUUUAUGUCUCCGAACUCCUCUUCACUCUGCACCGGCGUCUCUGACGCACUCGGAUUGCGCCUCUCAGCCGUCGGAAUUCGAGAUGCCGUUUGCAAUUUCCCGCGCUUUCAUCGCGGCGGCGGACGCAUUGCUCGAGAGCGAAGAGGAGGUUUCCGGUAGCUAUUCAUCAUCGUGCAACUGCUACUCCGGUCUCCACAGAAAGGAGAAGCCAUCGCCAUCCUCAUGUUUGCCGCCUCUUCAUGUUGGCUAACUGCAAUCUUUAUGCAUAUAAACAGCUCUCUUAAGUGAAUCUCGCCCUCGUCUGCAGUUGAGGCAACCAUGCAGCAUUAGAUCUGAGACGGGUUAACGGAGAAAUUAGAUUAUACAAUGAAGGGAUUGGGACUAGCAGAGAUGAAUAGGAAGUGUUUUGGCACUACCUUUUUUAACAGUGAAAAAUGUGUGCUUUAUCUUUACUGAUCUUGUUAAACAUCUUCAUUGUUAGCUUUCCUUCAACUUAUGCAAACAUAUAUAAUGUUCUGUCUGUGUCAA